rnacentral:piRNA from 1 species
UAGCCUUUGCUGUAGUGCUCUCUGGGCUCC